AUUCAAGCAAAGCCUUUGUGUGGACAAACCAUUUCAGACAAAUCCAGUGGGAGGCAGUAAGUGGAAUGGAAAAAAAAAACAAAAAAAAUGGAUUCAAAGCUCAGAUCCACCACUUAUUGACUAAAACUCUAAGCAAGUCGAUGUCCCUGAGGUUCAGGAUCCUUGAUAUGCCACCAUUUUCAGUCUCUGAACAGCCUAAAAUCUAAUUUUUGCCAGCUGAUCAAAUGGACUGUGAGGAGAAAAUCCAUAAGUAAGACCUAGAUGUCAGACUAAUAAACCUGCAGAGAAUUGUGUUUAAAUUCCAUUGAGAUGAUACAAGUUUGCUAACUGGAAUCCACGUAUAAUGACAGCAUAUUUUUCAUCACUAAAAUUCCAUUGUCAUUAACUCAUUAUCUGAAAGAUUAGCCCAUGAUCACUUCAGAUGAAAACUAACUGAAAAUAAUGCCAUAAGUACUAGAAGUUAAUUUAUGGACUCGCCUGAAAUGUAGAUGCUCAAUCUGAGUCCUCUGACAGCCUCACUAUUUUAAAAGCAAGUUGGAUCCAGCGCUCUUGAAGAUGGAGAGGCAGCCGAGAACCACCUUCCCUAAUUGCCUGAUGAAGACUCCUCUUGAGUUGAGACACCAGCUUACUGGUUAUUGUGUCUAAUGAGUAAAUUUGCAAGCCUCCCA